rnacentral:lncRNA from 1 species
ACACUCUCGAGUUCGCCGGAAAUGGGUGUGUCUACACCUGCCUUGAUUUCGUCCUAAAACCUUCCAAAAUCACGAAAUAAACUCAAUUAAACCACAUCUCACAAGAUUCUAGGAUGAAAAAGGGAAGAUUUGAGGCUUACCUAACCGGAGAUUUGAAAAACUCGUCGGAGUUCCUUUCCGGUUUUCUGGGUUAGCAGCACGGGAAAGAGGGAGAGAGAAGGAUAAAGAGAUGAUGAUGGUGAUGGGUGUCUUCCUCGAGUAGGCGUGAGCCUCUGCAUGCGGAUGUGUGUGUGGGUUCACA